rnacentral:rRNA from 1 species
GACAGAGGGUGCAACCGUUGUUCGGAAUUACUGGGCGUAAAGCGCGUGUAGGCGGCAGGGCAAGUCGGAUGUGAAAGCCCACGGCUCAACCGUGGAAGUGCACCCGAAACUGCCUAGCUAGAGUCUCGGAGAGGAAGGUGGAAUGCUUGGUGUAGAGGUGAAAUUCGUAGAUAUCAAGCGGAACACCGGUGGCGAAGGCGGCCUUCUGGACGAUGACUGACGCUGAGACGCGAAAGCGUGGGGAGCAAACAGG